UAGGGAAUCUUCGGCAAUGGACGAAAGUCUGACCGAGCAACGCCGCGUGAGUGAAGAAGGUUUUCGGAUCGUAAAACUCUGUUGGUAGAGAAGAACGUUGGUGAGAGUGGAAAGCUCAUCAAGUGACGGUAACUACCUAGAAAGGGACGGCUAACUACGUGCCUAG
rnacentral:rRNA from 1 species